CCCUGACCCUGUGCCAGCCUCGCGGGGAGCAGAGGGAAGAAGAACGGAUGCGCUCCCUGACCCGGAAGGCCCUUCUGCCCCCAUGGGCUGCCCUCGAAGGUGUCCGGAGGCCAAGAAAGCCUAAGAGGGCCAUAGCCACUUGUCAGAUCAGUUCACGGUGUUUGGAAUGGAUUACAGAAUAAUUGUCUUAUCGAUA